AUUUCUAUAUUUAUAUAGUUUAACACAUAAAACCUUACAUUUUCAUUGUAAAAUCAAAAUUACUUUUUAUAAA
rnacentral:tRNA from 1 species